AUGUGAGAUGCAGUGUAUGGAAUGUUCAAUUCUAACAUGAGAAAUUAAUUAUUUAAGUCCUUCUUAAAUGAGGCCAUUUACCCAAAGAGGGUGCUAGGCCCGUAUAAUAUUAAUGAUUGUUAGUGAAUAUUUCCAAAGAGUCGUGUUGCUUGAUAGUGCAGCACUAAGUGGGUGGUAAACUCCAUCUAAAACUAAAUAUAACCAUGAGACCGAUAGUAAACAAGUACCGUGAGGGAAAGUUGAAAAGAACUCUGAAUAGAGAGUUAAAUAGUACGUGAAACUGCUUAGAGGUUAAGCCCGAUGAACCUGAAUAUCCAUUAUGGAAAAUUCAUCAUUAUGAUUGUAAUAUAAAUUUAAAAAAAAAUAUUAUAAUAAUGGUGUGCAUUUUUUCCAUAUAAGGACAUUGUAAUCUAUUAACAAAAUCAUAAAGAUUUAUCAUAAGAUUAAUGGUUUUAAAGUUUUAUUUAAAUAUAUUUUGCUUGUGCAUUAUAUAAUUUAUAU
rnacentral:rRNA from 1 species